rnacentral:rRNA from 1 species
AAACAUGUCUUUUUGAGUUAUUUAUAAAGUCUGACCUGCCCACUGAAUAAAUUUAAAUGGCCGCAGUAUUUUAACUGUGCAAAGGUAGCAUAAUCAUUAGUCUUUUAAUUGAAGGCUGGUAUGAAUGGUUGGACGAAGUAUAAACUGUUUCAUUUAAAUUUAUAGUAGAAAUUUAUAUUUUAGUUAAAAAGCUAAAAUAAUAUUAAAAGACGAGAAGACCCUAUAAAUCUUUAUUUUUUAUAUUAUUUAGAUUUUUUAGAUAUUUUUUAUUUUUAUAAUAUAAAAUAUUUUAUUGGGGUGAUAUUAAAAUUUAAUAAACUUUUAAUUAAAAAAUCAUUAAUUUAUGAAUGUUUGAUCCAUUAAUAGUGAUUAUUAGAUUAAGUUACUUUAGGGAUAACAGCGUAAUUUUUUUGGAGAGUUCAUAUCGAUAAAAAGGAUUGCGACCUCGAUGUUGGAUUAAGAUAUAUUUUUAGGUGUAGCUGCUUAAAUAUUAAGUCUGUUCGACUUUUAAAUUCUUACAUGAUC